AUGUGCUCUCCAUGUCUGUGCUGCCACCUGCACCGCUUGGGCAGUUUCCUCCAAGCCUUUGCUCACAGGACAGUUCUGGUUGCCCUUUUUCCCUUCUCUCCCACUUCCAGCAUUCCACCUGCUUGCUUUUGUUCCCGGCCUUUGUGCUUCCUGGACCUGUCAGCUUUCCCAUUUCCAGGACAACAACUUCUGGUAGCCGGAGCUCAUGAAAUACAUGUUGGCACACCUGUGGAGCUGCCAGUGUGUUUUCAGGAUUGUUUUGCCUCAUGGCCAGGGCAGCUGAAUUCUCUGCACACUCCCCAACUGUUCCCUCAGGUGUGAGGUUUUAGACACUGAGAGAUGCCACUUGAUGACAUCAUCUCCCUGCCCUAAGUUUCCUGGACUCCUGGUGGGUAAGUACUGCAAAACCUCCGUGACAGGGUUGGAGCUAGUCUCCCAGUUACAGUUACCAUCAGUAAUGGCUUCAGAAAAUCCUCCCUAUCAAUUGGAAGAACAGAAGGAUAAUCACCAACAUUCUGGCCCAAGUAAACAUCACCAGCAUUGAAGCCGUGUUUAUAUGGCACCAGCUCUGUUGGACAGGACGUGUCAUAAGGAUGCCUGAUAAUUGGAUCUCAAAACAGGUCCUAUACCCCAACUUGCCACUGGCCACCAUUCUAGAGGUGGACAAAAGAAGAGAUUCAAGGACACCUGGAAGACGAAUUUGAAGAAAUCAGUCCUCAGGAGACUCAGUCACUGAAUCAUCUCCCAUGAUGCCAUUGAUUUUUGGAACAAACUUGCCUCAUUAUGGAGGUGCAUAGAUGAGAGAGACCAAGGGAGAGAGCUUAGAUCUCCAGCAUCUAUUUGUCAUGUCUGCAGUCAAAUAUGCAGAUCUCAGCUUGACCUUCUCAGUCAUCUUUGGACUCACAGAUGACUUCCCUAUUUACUCAAACACUAUCAUCCUCAUAUCAAGGGGACUGCUGCCAGCAAUGACUCUCCAGCUUAUGCUGUUUUAUAUUGACUGUCUGACCAGGGUGUCUGAGAAUAGGAUAGAAGGGAUAUUGACUUUUUAUUACAUUUUUUUCUUAUAGGUUGAUUUGCCUGUCUGACCUGGUAAUUGAGGGGGUUUUUUGAGUUCCUGUACUGGCUUGACUUGGGUGGUAAUAUACUGUGACAAAUUUUGGGAAAUGUAAGUGGUUAAUUACAUUUGUGUUUUUCCUAAAAUAAAAUGUGAUAUUUAAAUGCCA
rnacentral:lncRNA from 1 species